rnacentral:rRNA from 1 species
GACGAACGCUGGCGGCGUGCUUAACACAUGCAAGUCGAACGGAAAGGCUCCAGCUUGCUGGAGUACUCGAGUGGCGAACGGGUGAGUAACACGUGGGUGAUCUGCCCUGCACUUCGGGAUAAGCCUGGGAAACUGGGUCUAAUACCGGAUAGGACCGCACUUUGGUGUGUGUGGUGGAAAGGUUUUUCUGGUGUGGGAUGAGCUCGCGGCCUAUCAGUUUGUUGGUGGGGUAAUGGCCUACCAAGACGGCGACGGGUAGCCGGCCUGGGAGGGUGGACGGUCACAUUGGGACUGGGAUACGGCCCAGACUCCUACGGGAGGCAGCAGUGGGGAAUAUUGCACAAUGGGGGAAACCCUGAUGCAGCGACGCCGCGUGGGGGAUGAAGGCCUUCGGGUUGUAAACUCCUUUCGCUAGGGACGAAGCUUUUUGUGACGGUACCUGGAGAAGAAGCACCGGCUAACUACGUG